rnacentral:rRNA from 1 species
UACGUAGGGUGCAAGCGUUGUCCGGAAUUAUUGGGCGUAAAGAGCUCGUAGGCGGUGUGUCGCGUCGGCCGUGAAAACCUGCAGCUUAACUGUGGGCUUGCGGUCGAUACGGGCAUCACUGGAGUUCGGCAGGGGAGACUGGAAUUCCUGGUGUAGCGGUGAAAUGCGCAGAUAUCAGGAGGAACACCAGUGGCGAAGGCGGCUCACUGGUCCAUUACUGACGCUGAGGAGCGAAAGCGUGGGGAGCGAACAGG